rnacentral:rRNA from 1 species
GACGAACGCUGGCGGCGUGCCUAAUACAUGCCAGUAGAACGCUGAAGGAGGAGCUUGCUUCUCUGGAUGAGUUGCGAACGGGUGAGUAACGCGUAGGUAACCUGCCUGGUAGCGGGGGAUAACUAUUGGAAACGAUAGCUAAUACCGCAUAAGAGUAGAUGUUGCAUGACAUUUGCUUAAAAGGUGCAAUUGCAUCACUACCAGAUGGACCUGCGUUGUAUUAGCUAGUUGGUGGGGUAACGGCUCACCAAGGCGACGAUACAUAGCCGACCUGAGAGGGGGAUCGGCCACACUGGGACUGAGACACGGCCCAGACUCCUACGGGAGGCAGCAGUAGGGAAUCUUCGGCAAUGGACGGAAGUCUGACCGAGCAACGCCGCGUGAGUGAAGAAGGUUUUCGGAUCGUAAAGCUCUGUUGUAAGAGAAGAACGAGUGUGAGAGUGGAAAGUUCACACUGUGACGGUAUCUUACCAGAAAGGGACGGCUAACUACGUG